rnacentral:rRNA from 1 species
CCUACGGGGGGCAGCAGUAGGGAAUCUUCCGCAAUGGACGAAAGUCUGACGGAGCAACGCCGCGUGAGCGAUGAAGGCCUUCGGGUCGUAAAGCUCUGUUGUCAGGGAAGAACAAGUGCGGGAGUAACUGCCCGCACCUUGACGGUACCUGACCAGAAAGCCACGGCUAACUACGUGCCAGCAGCCGCGGUAAUACGUAGGUGGCAAGCGUUGUCCGGAAUUAUUGGGCGUAAAGCGCGCGCAGGCGGUCCCUUAAGUCUGAUGUGAAAGCCCCCGGCUUAACCGGGGAGGGUCAUUGGAAACUGGGGGACUUGAGUGCAGAAGAGAAGAGCGGAAUUCCAUGUGUAGCGGUGAAAUGCGCAGAGAUAUGGAGGAACACCAGUGGCGAAGGCGGCUCUUUGGUCUGUAACUGACGCUGAGGCGCGAAAGCGUGGGGAGCAAACAGGAUUAGAUACCCUUGUAGUC